rnacentral:rRNA from 1 species
UAGGGAAUCUUCCGCAAUGGACGCAAGUCUGACGGAGCAACGCCGCGUGAGUGAAGAAGGUUUUCGGAUCGUAAAACUCUGUUGUAAGAGAAGAACAAAUUGUAGAGUAACUGCUACAGUCUUGACGGUAUCUUACCAGAAAGCCACGGCCAACUACGUUCCAGCAGCCGCGGUAAUACGUAGGUGGCAAGCGUUGUCCGGAUUUAUUGGGCGUAAAGGGGGCGCAGGCUGCUUCUUAAGUCUAAUGUGAAAGCCCACGGCUUAACCGUGGAAGUGCAUUGGAAACUGGGAAGCUUGAGUACAGAAGAGGAAAGUGGAACUCCAUGUGUAGCGGUGGAAUGCGAAGAUAUAUGGAAGAACACCAGUGGCGAAAGCGACUUUCUGGUCUGUCACUGACGCUGAGGCCCGAAAGCGUGGGUAGCAAACAGG